rnacentral:rRNA from 1 species
UACGUAGGGGGCAAGCGUUGUCCGGAUUUAUUGGGCGUAAAGAGCGUGUAGGCGGCCUGGUAGGUCAGCUGUGAAAACUCGAGGCUCAACCUCGAGACGCCGGUUGAAACCAUCAGGCUAGAGUCCGGAAGAGGAGAGUGGAAUUCCCGGUGUAGCGGUGAAAUGCGCAGAUAUCGGGAAGAACACCCGUGGCGAAGGCGGUUCUCUGGGACGGUACUGACGCUGAGACGCGAAAGCGUGGGGAGCGAACAGG